GCAGUUUUCACUUAUUCACCUCCUAGUUACCUAAAAAGAUCAAGCGGCGUUUCUCAUCGAAUUCUUCUCCGGUAAAAUCCAUUUCAUUUCCUAAAACAUCUAAUUCCUUCUAUUCCAUCUCAUGGUUAACCGGAAAGCAUCGAGUCAAAGGAUGACUGACGACUCUUCGUAGUCUCCGGCUCCAGAUCCACACUAUUCCGUAUGUGUUUCUUCUCAACUACUUGAACAGCCACUGAACAAACCAUAGAGAUUGCAGCCCAAAAACUCUACCAAUCGAGGAAGUACAAUGGGUGGUUUAGGGGUCGCUAAACACAACAAUGGUGCAAAAACUUAUGAACGACGUUGGGAUGAGAUGACAAUUGAACUAGGAACGUAGCCUAAUAUGAUUCAUUUCAUGGAACAAAGUGUGUUUGAUAUGGCUUAUAGUCAGAUGGAGCUCAUCCAAUCUCAACGCCAACCUGAGGGUGAUGCUUCGCUUCAGGAAAAUCCUCUUACACGAGAGGAUAUUAUGAUGAUGAUGACGCUGACACAACCUUGAUCGUGGUCCCCUAGCAUAUAUAAUUAGUUUUUUGGUAGUUCAUCUUGUAUGAAGUUGUAAAAUUGUAUGGAUUGAUAAACUGUUUUUUAGAAGUAAUGAAUAUGUAUUCCUUCAAUUGUUAAAACA